rnacentral:rRNA from 4 species
GGGUUGUGAGGUUAAGCGACUAAGCGUACACGGUGGAUGCCCUGGCAGUCAGAGGCGAUGAAGGGCGUGCUAAUCUGCGAUAAGCGCCGGUAAGGUGAUAUGAACCGUUAUAACCGGCGAUACCCGAAUGGGGAAACCCAGUGUGACUCGUCACACUAUCAUUAACUGAAUCCAUAGGUUAAUGAGGCGAACCGGGGGAACUGAAACAUCUAAGUACCCCGAGGAAAAGAAAUCAACCGAGAUUCCCCCAGUAGCGGCGAGCGAACGGGGAGGAGCCCAGAGCCUGAAUCAGCAUGUGUGUUAGUGGAAGCGUCUGGAAAGGCGCGCGAUACAGGGUGACAGCC